AGAGUUUGAUCCUGGCUCAGAUUGAACGCUAGCGGGAUGCUUUACACAUGCAAGUCGAACGGCAGCACGAGAGAGCUUGCUCUCUUGGUGGCGAGUGGCGGACGGGUGAGUAAUAUAUCGGAACGUGCCCAGUAGCGGGGGAUAACUACUCGAAAGAGUGGCUAAUACCGCAUACGCCCUACGGGGGAAAGGGGGGGAUCGCAAGACCUCUCACUAUUGGAGCGGCCGAUAUCGGAUUAGCUAGUUGGUGGGGUAAAGGCUCACCAAGGCAACGAUCCGUAGCUGGUUUGAGAGGACGACCAGCCACACUGGGACUGAGACACGGCCCAGACUCCUACGGGAGGCAGCAGUGGGGAAUUUUGGACAAUGGGGGAAACCCUGAUCCAGCCGUCCCGCGUGUAUGAUGAAGGCCUUCGGGUUGUAAAGUACUUUUGGCAGAGAAGAAAAGGCAUCCCCUAAUACGGGAUGCUGCUGACGGUAUCUGCAGAAUAAGCACCGGCUAACUACGUGCCAGCAGCCGCGGUAAUACGUAGGGUGCAAGCGUUAAUCGGAAUUACUGGGCGUAAAGCGUGUGUGGGCGGUUCGGAAAGAAAGAUGUGAAAUCCCAGGGCUCAACCUUGGAACUGCAUUUUUAACUGCCGAGCUAGAGUAUGUCAGAGGGGGGUAGAAUUCCACGUGUAGCAGUGAAAUGCGUAGAUAUGUGGAGGAAUACCGAUGGCGAAGGCAGCCCCCCUGGGAUAAUACUGA
rnacentral:rRNA from 1 species